rnacentral:ncRNA from 1 species
CCUUAUUGAGAGUGGCUGAGGGAAUAGGCCCGAAGACGCCCGGCAACCUAGGUGCUUAAAGCAUAAAAGGUGCUAAAUCCUACAGAAUUUAUUUCUGAAAGAUGAGG